rnacentral:rRNA from 1 species
AGCUCCAAUAGCGUAUAUUAAAGUUGUUGCGGUUAAAAAGCUCGUAGUUGGAUUUCUGGAAAGGACGACCGGUCCACCCUCUGGGUGAGCACAUGGUUCGGCUUGGCCAUAUUCUUGGGAAACGCUGCUGCGCUUUAUUGUGUGGGGUGGUACUCAAGACUUUUACUUUGAGGAAAUUGGAGUGUUUCAAGCAGGCGCACGCCCUGAACACAUUAGCAUGGAAUAAUA